rnacentral:rRNA from 1 species
CGUUUUUGACGGAGUGACAGUAUCCUUUCGAAUAAGAGGUUGCUAACUCUGUGCCAGCAGCAGCGGUGAUACAGAGACCUCGAGCGUUGUCCGGAUUUAUUGGGCGUAAAGGGUUCGUAGGGGGUUUGAAGGGUUUCAAGUAAAAUCUUAAGGCUCAACCUUGAGUUGGCUUGAAAAACUAGCAAACUAGAGCAUACCAGAGGUGUUUAGAACUCAUGGUGUAGGAGUGAAAUCCGUUGAGAUCAUGGGGAAUACCAAAGGCGAAGGCAUAACACUAGAGUAUUGCUGACCCUGAGGAACGAAAGCGUGGGGAGCGAAAUGGAUUAGAUACCCAUGUAGUCCACGCCGUAAACGAUGAGCGCUAGAUAUUUGAGGCUUCGACCCCUUGAGUAUCACAGCUAACGCAUUAAGCGCUCCGCCUGGGAAGUACGGCCGCAAGGCUAAAACUCAAAGGAAUAGACGGGGAUCCGCACAAGCGGUGGAGCGUCCGGUUUAAUUCGAUAAUAAGCGUGGAACCUUACCAGGACUUGACAUCCCACGAUAGCUUUAGAAAUAAAGUUUCCUUCGGGCGUGGUGACAGGUGCUGCAUGGUUGUCGUCAGCUCGUGCUGUGAAGUGUUCCGUUAAGUCGGGAAACGAGCGCAACCCUUGUCGUGUGUUAAAUUUCUCACAUGAUACUGCUCGGGUUAACCGAGAGGAAGGCAGGGAUGACGUCAAAUCAGCAUGGCCCUUAUGUCCUGGGCUACACGGGCGCUACAAUGGCAGAUACAAAAGGUGGCCAAGUCGCAAGACGGAGCUAACCCUCCAAAGUCUGUCUUAGUUCGGAUUGAAGGCUGCAACUCGCCUUCAUGAAGUUGGAAUCGCUAGUAAUCGUGAAUCAGCCACGUCACGGUGAAUAUGUUCCCGGAUCUUGUACUCACCGCCCGUCACACCAAGAGAGUUGGUAAGUCCUGAAAGAUCGCUUUUAAGCGGGAUUACGGACAGAUCAGCAAUAGGGGUGAAGUCGUAACAAGGUAUCCGUAGGGGAAUCUGCGGAUG